rnacentral:rRNA from 1 species
AGAGUUGAUCAUGGCUCAGAACGAACGCUGGUAGCGUGGAUUAGGCAUGCAAGUCGGACGGGAUCGGCCGGUUAGCAAUAAUGGCCGUGAGAGUGGCGGAUGGGGAGGAACACGUGAGCAACCUGCCCCUGGGACGGGGAAAACCGUUGGAAACGACGGCUAAUACCGGAUGCGGCGCCCGAGGACAUCCUCGGAGCGUCAAAGGGGGCCGCAAGGCUCCCGCCCUGGGAGGGGCUCGCGCACCAUCAGCUUGUUGGCGGGGUAACGGCCCACCAAGGCCUACGGUUAGCUGGUCUGAGAGGAUGACCAGCCCCACUGGGACUGAGAUACUGCCCAGACUCCUACGGGAGGCUGCAGUCGAGGAUCAUUUGCAAUGGGCGAAAGCCUGACAAUGCGACGCUGCGUGGAGGAUGAAGGCCUUCGGGUCGUAAACUCCUGUCAUGGGGAACAGGCGAGGGGGCCCAACACGCCCCUUAGUUGAGUGUACUCCAAGAGGAAGGGACGGCUAACUCUGUGCCAGCCGCCGC